UACAGAGGUCCCGAGCGUUGUUCGGAUUCACUGGGCGUAAAGGGUGCGUAGGUGGCGUGGUAAGUUUGAUGUGAAAGCUCAGGGCUUAACCCUGAAAUGGCAUUGAAUACUACUGUGCUGGAGGUUUGGAGGAGGGACUGGAAUUCUUGGUGUAGCAGUGAAAUGCGUAGAUAUCAAGAGGAACACCAGUGGCGAAGGCGAGUCCCUGGACAACACCUGACACUGAGGCACGAAAGCUAGGGGAGCAAACAGG
rnacentral:rRNA from 1 species